GACAGAGGUGGCAAGCGUUGUCCGGAAUUACUGGGCGUAAAGCGCGCGUAGGUGGCUAGAUAAGUCCGGUGUGAAAUCCUUCGGCUUAACCGGGGAAUGGCAUCGGGGACUGUUUAGCUAGAGGACGGGAGAGGAGAGCGGAAUUCCCGGUGUAGCGGUGAAAUGCGUAGAGAUCGGGAGGAAGGCCGGUGGCGAAGGCGGCUCUCUGGAACGUCCCUGACGCUGAGGCGCGAAAGCGUGGGGAGCAAACAGGG
rnacentral:rRNA from 1 species